rnacentral:tRNA from 1 species
ACUAUUUUGGCAGAUAAGUGCGGUGGAUUUAGAAUCUAUUAAUGUAGAGUUUAUUUUACAAGUAGUA